AACUGUUAUUACAGUUGUCAGAUUAGCCCUCAGAGUGAUGCAUCCUGUCAGACAGCACCAUCUCUGCAGCGGUAGUUCCUUCACUUCCUGGACGCCUCAGAUCCUCCACGGACUGUUUCAAUCCCGAUGGUCCCGGUGCUUCCUCCGCAGGCUGCUCUGCCCUCCGCUCCGGUCCAGUAUCAGUGACAGCGCCGCUGCCUCCCGCUGCUUUAACCCAUACAACAAACCGGAGGUCGGGGCCGGGUCUCAGCUGAGGUCCGGAGCUAGCUGGCAGGCUAGCCGAGCGUUAGCCGAGCAGACAGCCGGGUGAAGGCUCGGUCCGGACGGCGGGCAGAGGGAGCGCAUCAUGGCCGGAGGGAACCACAGCCAGGCGGCGGAGGAGAAGGCAGCGAGCCGCGGUCAGAGUGAAGCGAACAAGAGGCUGAAGUACAUCAGUCUCGCCGUGCUGGUGGUCCAGAAUGCAUCGCUCAUCCUCAGCAUCCGGUACGUCCGCACGUUGCCGGGCGACCGCUUCUUCGCGACGUCGGCCGUCGUCAUGGCGGAGGUCCUGAAGGUGCUGACGUGUCUGCUCAUCAUCCUGCUGCAGAAGAGACUCAGCGUGAAGGAGACGGCGUCCUUCCUGGUCGACUCCAUCGUGUUUCAGUACAAAGACACUCUGAAACUGGCCGUUCCUUCGCUCAUCUACACUCUGCAGAACAACCUGCAGUACGUCGCCAUCUCCAACCUGCCGGCUGCCACCUUCCAGGUGACCUACCAGCUGAAGAUCCUCACCACGGCUCUGUUCAGCGUGAUGAUGCUGAGGAAGUCUCUGUCCAGAGUUCAGUGGGUUUCUCUGCUGCUGCUGUUCGGCGGAGUCGCCAUCGUGCAGGUGCAGCAGGAGGGGAAGAAGGAGGCGUCUGUGUCGGACAGCUCCGGUCAGAACUACAUGGUCGGUUUGGUCGCCGUGGUGAUCAGCUGCCUGUCGUCGGGGUUCGCCGGCGUUUACUUUGAGAAGAUCCUGAAGGGCAGCUCGGCGUCCGUGUGGGUGAGGAACGUGCAGCUGGGGAUCUUCGGCACGGCGCUCGGCAUGCUGGGACUGUGGUGGAACGACGGCGCCGCCAUCGCCGAGCGCGGCUUCCUGUUCGGCUACACCGACAUGGUGUGGUGCGUCAUCUUCAACCAGGCGUUCGGCGGGCUGCUGGUGGCCGUGGUGGUGAAGUACGCCGACAACAUCCUGAAGGGCUUCGCCACCUCCUUCUCCAUCAUCGUCUCCACGGUGAUGUCCAUCUACCUGUUCGGCUUCCACGUGGACCUGCUCUUCACGGUGGGGGCGGGGCUCGUCAUCGGCGCCGUCUACAUGUACAGCCUCCCCAAAGCGGCCGGCGGCUCUUCGUCGCCAAGCUCCUCCUCGUCUUCCUCGGCGUCCUCAGAGGAGACGAGGACAGACGGAGGCGCUGAGAUGGAGGCGUUUCUGCCCAAGUCAGUGCUGGUGAAGUGACUCUCUCUCUCUCUCUCGCUCUCGGUGGCGUCCCCCGGCGCUCACUUCCUGUCUGCUCUCAGCGGGGUCAGAGGUCGAACUGGCGGCUCGCUCUCUCGCUCUCACCUGCUCUCUGCAAAGGUCUCUCGCCCUCCUCCUGACCCUGUCCUCCUGCUGACCUUCUGCAAACCUCCUCGUCCUUCUAACCUCCUCCCCUCCUCCUCUCCUCCUCCUCCUCCUCUCCUCCUCCUCCUGCUGAUCAGCUGUUCUGACCAAAGGGGGACGGGAUCUGUUCCAGACCUCCUCCCGACUCCUCUCUCCUCUCUCCUCCUCCUCCUCCUCCUCCUCCUCCUCCUCCUCCUCCUCCUCCUCCUCCUCCUCCUCCUCCUCUCCUCCUGCUGAUCAGCUGUUCUGACCAAAGGGGGACGGGAUCUGUUCCAGACCUCCUCGCCUCCUUUUUCCUCCGGCAGAGGAGUCGAUGACCUCCUCAGAGCUCAGUCUGUGAUGCAGACGAGAGCAGAGACUCCCUUCCCUGCUCCUCUGCUGUAACUCUGCCCCUUCCCCUCGAGGAGGAAGAGGAGAGCUCAGGGAGGCGUCGCGUCUCCUCCCCCUGCCGUCCACAUCACAGACUAACUGCUCGGAGGAGGAGGAGGAGGAGGAGAGGAGGAGAGGAGGAGGAGCUGCAGCGUCUCAGAAACCCUGACCACCUGUCUGUCUGUCCCUGUUUGCCGUCUCGCCCUCUCUGCCUUAACGACGAGAGAAAAAGCCUUACGCUGAUUAGAGAGAACAUAUUGAUUAUUGUGUUUUCGCUGUGCAGCUGUCACGUGUUCAGUUUUAGCCACCGGCCCGAUGCCGCAGGCGUCACUUGUGUUUGCUUUAACGACGGGCUGCGCAGCGAAAACACCUCACAGGCUCUUCGCUUCCUGUCGGCGGCCAUGUUGAGACGGUUUGUGUUCGGUGCCUUUUCUUCUCAUCUGUACAGAAGCCGUACGAUUGUGUUGGUGUUAGCGGUUAGCGGUUAGCGGCGUACAGUUAGCAGCUGCUGUCUCACGCCGCAGUAAACGCACACAGACGCUGAACUCGGAUCAGCUGGGAGGGGAACGUGCUCGUUGAUUGGAGCACCUUUUUAAAUGAAUGAAUCAGAAUAAUUAUAAUGUUUGUUCUCAGCAAAACCGCCUCUGCUGCAGGCGUCUUGAUUGUUUUUCCGUUGCUGCGCGUCGACGGACGAGUUAAUCGAUCGGGGUCGAUCGGUUCGCCGUGCGCCCGUCUGUCCGCUCGGCCGCUUCUCGGCGUUUCGGUUGCUGUUUCAUUUUGGUAGAAAGUUUGUUGUUGUUUUGUCUCCAGAUCGCUGCAGGAAGCGACGAGCAGCUGACCACCAGAGUCUGUUUUUAAUCCGCCACGUUAAAGCCAGGCCGGGUCACCCUCAGACCCUCAGGGGCCCGAAGGCUGCAGGUCACCAUGUAGCGGUUAGUUUGUGGUAAUUUGAUUAAUUAAUUUGUUUGUUGGUCCCUUUAAACGGCGGGCGCCUGAAGGCAGCAACCUUUUGGAAUCAGCUUGGAGCGGUUUAAACGUUUUGCCACCAGCCAGAUAAAAUGUUUACCACAUUGGUAUUCUAACUGCAGGUAAUGUUUGUUUUCGUUAUCGAUUGAUCUCUUAGGUUAGUUUUGGAUUAAUCAUUAAAGGUUCCAGCCCAACGACCAACCAUCAGAAGCUCAGAAACGUUCAGUUCACUGAGAAACGCAGGAAAUCAGAGACAUUUAAGCAGCUGGAACCAGAGAAUAUUUGGCGUUUUAUGCCCGAAAAAGAAAAAGAAGAUCAAAAUAGUUGCAUAUAUAUUUUCUGUAGGUGUAGUAAUCGGCGAGCGCUGCAGCUCUGGGCUCCGUGUUGACGAGUCAGUCGAGUUUGAAGUAGCUGUAACUGAACCAGGAGGCUCCUGGACCUCUACACCGGAGUUUUCUUGUAAGAUCUUAUUAUUUAAAUGUAUAUUGAGACUAUCAUCUCGGGGUUAGUCCGGCCCUGAUCCAGCACCAGACCGCGGCCAGAGGGGCGUUGGGUUUUCAGUGACGGGGAAAAGUAACGAAACGAACGUUUUGAUCGGGAGAUAAGAGCAGUUUUCUUGUGAAUACUUUUUAAUGAAGGAAACACAAUUAUUACUGAGAUGAUGAAUAAUCAAAGUUAUGUUUUCUCUCAGAAUUUCGAUUUAAAUGUUUUUCAUAACAUCCGAAUAUUUUCUUUUUAUUGAUGUUUUGAAAUUUAGACUUCGUGAUCAGGUUUUUCUGAGCAUGUGAUAAAUAUUUCAAACGUUUCACCUUCACGGGGAAACAACGAGUCAUUUCUUCAUGAAAACGUGAAAAGAUUCAUAAAUAAUUACAUGUUUUCGGACUUCCUGCGGAAAACUGAUCUCAGGACGGACGAGUGUUGGAGCUUCGUUGUUUUUCAGAUCGAUGUGGAGACAAAAAGCUAAACAAAAACACUUUCUUUCUCCCAAAGUGUCAAAAGAACUUUAAAUAGUUGUUCUGUUUUAUUACGGUCAGAAUCAAAGUGGUUUUCUGAAUUCAAUCAAACUGUGAAAGGAAUAUUUGACAUUUAGUUAUUUUCUGUUUUUGUAAAAAAAAAAAAUCUUCCAGCUGACAGUUUGUGUGUGUUGGGAACUCCAGAAACUAUAUAUUAAUAUAUCAGAAGUUUUUAUUUGAUGUGGGAAUGAAAGGCUGAUCUGGUGGUGUAUUUUAUUUUCGGGUGGCGGUGAGGAAGGACGAGGAGGAAGAGGAAACUCAGCAGGUCGCUCCGGUUUUUAGUGACGGCCAAUCAGAGCAGCUGUUUUGUGUUUUCUGCUCAGUUAGAAAUAUUUAUCUUGACGAUCAAAGAGUCAAAGUUGCCUGUGAGAUUUUAGGAUUCGACAGUUACCGUGACGACAACUGCAACAAAAUCUGAAUUUGAUAUCUUGUUCAUUUUGUCAGAAAUGACGUUUAGUACGGAAGCUGGAAGCCGUCGUGGUGGAGCGAUUUAUUUUUCCUUUUCCUGUAAUCUCCGUCACAAGUUAAUUAUCUUGCGGAUAACGACCAGAUAAAUAUCUCGUUUUUCUCAUAUUUCAUUAUCUCAGGACAACAAAGUCGUUUUCUCCAGUUAAAGAAAUAUAAAUAUUAUCCUGUUUAUAAAUGAAUAGUUAUCCUGAGAAUACGGCAUCUGUGCAUGCCUGAAAACUCCACAUAUCUCGAGAUAAAGGGAUUAAUAUCUCGAGAUAAAGGGAUUAAUAUCCCGAGAAAACAAAUAAUGUUAUUCCGAGAUAGCGAGACCUUUUAAACAAUUUUUUUAUCUCGAGAUAAUGGAAUAAUUAUUUCAGGAAACUUCAAAUAGGAUAAUAAUAAUAGUAAUAAUAAUAAUAGUAAUAGGAUCUUGUUCUCUCCAGAAAACGUCUUGUUAUCUCGUUUCGCUGGAAAUCGAAAUGUUAUUUUUGCGAGUAUCUCAGACGGGGUGACCACGGUGAUUUCUCGUGACGAUGGAAGAAAUAUUUUUAGACAACAAAAGGUUUUCUGGCGAUAAUGAGAUAAUUAUCCUGUUCUGUUAAUCAAAUAAAUACUGUCGUCCUGAGAUAACGAGGCUAACAAGAUUCAGAAAUAUCUCGAGAUAUGAAGAGAAUUAUCUUUGUUAUAUCCAGAGAGUUAGAACCGGAUAAGGAUCUUGUUAUCGGCAGAAAAUAAUCUUUACUUUUCUCAUGAAAACAACAUUUAUUGCAUUAUCUCAAGUUAAUCAUCUCGGCAUAACAACGUGUUUGUUAUCUCGUCGUGUCGGGAAAGCACGGAUAAAUAUCUCGGUGAAAUCAAAAGAUCUUGAGAAAACUAAUAUUGUUAUCUGAACAUAACGUGACCGCAGCGUCUUUUAUCGUGAUAAAAACAGCUCUUUGUCUCCAGAUACUCACGACUGAGGAAAGCUGAAGUUUAAUUUCUCAUUUUAUUUAUUAAGCUGCAGAGAUUUUUUUUCCAAAAGAAUUGCGAGACUCUUAAUUUCAAAUGAGCAAGUUUCAUCUUUUAGAUUUGUACCAAACUGUACAGAUUCUAAAUUAUUUUAAUUUUCAGGAUUCACCAUCCAUAAAUCCACAUUAUUUGUAAUUUCUUCUCUUAUUUAUGAGACUCUGAAGGAUUUUGAAUCUUAUCGGAUCAGCAGGAUUUGUUUUUCCUCAUUGGACCUUCCGUGUGGAGAACCGUCCAAUAGGAUCCUUCAGAAAUCUUUUGAACUUCCUCUUCCUGUGUGGAAGUUUGUGUUUGUUCUGUAUGAAAUCUGUUGGGAGCGAUCAGGCAGGUUUCAUCACUGAUCUGUUAGUUUGCACUUGAUUGUUGACUUGUACCAAUGCCUCUGAAUUUGUAAAUACUUCUUUUGGUAAAGUUUUAUAUAAACAAGGACAUGGACUCAAAAA